rnacentral:other from 1 species
UUUACCCUGCUUGGUUCGUGCUUGUGCUUAUUUAAACCCACAGUGUUUCAAACGGGAUUACGGACUUCCGAUACGGUUUGCAGGCCUCCCGGCAAACGCCGCGGCGUUUACCGGAUGUUGGAAGCAAUAAUGUUGAGGAGAGUAAACCCACCUGCUAUAUGUGCAGGAUUUUAAAUCGGCCUCACGGCCAAAGCGGGGACAGU